rnacentral:rRNA from 1 species
UACAGAGGGGGCAAGCGUUGUUCGGAAUUACUGGGCGUAAAGGGCGCGUAGGCGGCCUGCUAAGUCGAACGUGAAAUCCCUGGGCUCAACCCAGGAACUGCGUCCGAUACUGGUUGGCUUGAAUCCGGGAGAGGGAUGUGGAAUUCCAGGUGUAGCGGUGAAAUGCGUAGAUAUCUGGAGGAACACCAGCGGCGAAGGCGGCACUCUGGGCUGGUACUGACGCUGAGGAGCGAAAGCGUGGGUAGCAAACAGG